rnacentral:rRNA from 1 species
UACAGAGGUCCCAAGCGUUGUUCGGAUUCAUUGGGCGUAAAGGGUGCGUAGGCGGCGCGGUAAGUCGGGUGUGAAAUCUCGGAGCUUAACUCCGAAACUGCAUUCGAUACUGCCGUGCUUGAGGACUGGAGAGGAGACUGGAAUUUACGGUGUAGCGGUGAAAUGCGUAGAUAUCGUAAGGAAGACCAGUGGCGAAGGCGGGUUGGCUGGGCCGACACUGACGCUGAGGCGCGAAAGCUAGGGGAGCGAACGGG